UCAACACGCAAUGUUCUGUUCUCUUCUCAGCACGAUUCGCGAACUGUGGCGAUCGCUUACAUUCCUCUUUCUUUCUAAUCAUUUAAAUUGUUUGGACAAAUUAGUACACCACUGGUAAACAUAAUUAAGCUACUCCUCGAUACAUUUCGUUGCGUGGAAAAAUACAGCGCGGAACAAAAUCUUACUCAUACGAGAAACGCAUAUCCAGUAAUGGACUGCAAUAGUUAUGAUGUCACUUGAAAAAUUACUUAACAUGUGUUCCUAUGAAUAGUAUAUAAUAAACAGUAAUAUACAAGCAUCAUGUAAAUUCAUUUAAUUUCUUAAGUGUUUCAAAAGCUUCGAAACAAAAGAAAAAGAUUUUUAAUAUCAAUAAUGAUAUAGAAAUUUAUUUCAAUAUGUUUCUUGCAUUUACAUACCCGAUUAAAACGAUGUCUAGACGAUUCAAGAUAAGGUCGUAAUAAGAAGCUUGUGGCGACAGAUCAAUACGAAAUGAAAUUAGAGGCCUGAUAAUGCGGUAAUGAGUAACACGAUUAACCCAGUGCACUAGGACAAUGCAGUACCAUUGACGCGCGCACCCAAAGUUCACCGAUGAAAUGACGUUCAGAUCGAAGAAUUCAGCAAUGCUUAUUCGAACUCCGACUAUAUACCAUAACGUCGAUUACCAUUCGGAUCAGAAUGUGUUCGAAAGGCUGAGAGAUUGAAAUUCUCUGGCGAAUGUGCCAGAAGGUCGACAAUCGCGAAGGAUUAAUACAGCAAAGAGAAGGGAGGCUUUCUUGUGGCAAAAUCGUGAUUAUCCCAGCCUAGUUUUACUCAAGCGAGAAAAGAAGGGUCUGGAAUCUCAAUUCUUCCAAAUUAUAGAGGCUGCAGAGGCAUCCAUCUAACUAUUAGUAAAAAGAAUUCUUUACACUGUUUUCUAUCAACUAAUUGUCUUUCGAAAUGCAUUUCAAAUAAAACAAUAAAAAUAAUACAAAAUUAUCAAGAAGAAAAUGUAAAAGGAAUGCGAAGAGCACAUGGUUGAGUUAUUCAUUGUACUUGCUAAAUAACCCUUCGAUUCAUUUUAAUGAAGGCCUCUCAAAAUUCUCUACCAUUGCAUAACGGUAAUCUACGUGGAAUCAAGAGACACUGAUAGUCUUCUUGAUUAAUUGUUGGUGGCAUGGUUGCCGUGGUUGAUCGCUCUCGUUAUCACUGAUUGCAUAACCUGGCUUGUGAAGGGCAUUACCAGGCGGAAUACACCCGUGAGCCACAAUUAUCUAAUUGAUUUCGCGCCAUAUAAUCGUCAAAUGGCGCUAAAACGACGGACAAGGGUGUCACGAACGAACCAACCAUUAUUAACGUUGAAAUGCAACCGUCUUGUCGACAAUUGAAGAUUGAAUGUUAAAAUGAACUUGGACUUGAACUGGGAGUCAGCGGACAACUACAUCUCAUAAUCGUAUGCAAAACCGUGUGCAAGUUCGACCGACAAUGGCUCGAACAAUUUUCACGCCAAGCACACGAAUAACUCAUACUUGUAAAAAAUUGCCUCAUUCACAAGUUACAAUUGUAUUUAAAUUUUGCAUGAGAUUUAAGUGAAGUUGUUAAAAGGAUUUUUGCAUAUUGAACUUUGAGAAUCACUAUAUAUACUAUACUAUGAAUUUUGUGAAAUGUAUUUUAUGUAUUAAAUUUUGUGGAUGAGAUAUAUUAGUAAUUAGUAUGUUUUAUUGAUUGUAUUUUAUAUAGGGGAAGAUGAGACAAGGAGACACUAUCGUUUAUUUCUCGUUAUGAAUCCAAAUAAUUAAAAAUAGAAAAAAAUACCAAUUAUACAGUUGACGAUGUGUUGCCAAUUGCUAAAGGCACUUUAUUUUGUUCUUGUGCACUUGUUGAUCAUAAUUCUGAUUCUUUCGUUUAUCAUGUUAUUCUUUGACAUGUUUUAAGGAGACAUUCUAGAAUGACCGAUCAAACAAAUUGAUUUUUUUAUUUGAUAUAUCGAAAAUGUAACUGUUUAAAAAUGUGCUUUUAAAAGUUGUUAGUGAUAUUCGAAAAAAUAACAGAGUUAGAAAUCUUGUUGUAAUGCUGUCAUAGACUGAUCAAAAUACCUUAAACGCGUUUUCCUCGAAACUCGAUUUUUCGAAUUGGUUACCACGAUAUCUCAAAAACUGUCGCAUAGGCCGAGAUCAAAUUCUGCAUGUGUUAUCAGCACAUGUAUGGUUAUCGCUGAUACCUCAAUUAUGUUGAAAUAUAUUUAUUACUAAUUUCCACAGUCAUUUAACAAUAAAAAGAAACACAAAAAACCAAAACAUUAAAUUCAAAGCACCAUUACUUUUUAAAAUGUUAAACAUAUAUCCUUCUUUUUAGUACCUGCGAUAGGUGUGUUCAUACUGUUUGAUAAUCGAUUAAAUUUUUUCGUUCAAGAUAAGCAGAACAGCUCAAAUAAUGUCGACUAACAAUCUCCUCUUUUUACAUACUCAAAGAUACGUAAACAUUAUCACACAAAGCUUACGUCAAUAACUUUUUUCAAAUCCUUAUGAAUAAAUAAAAAAGCAUAAAAAAAUACUUGUCACGCUAGAAUAUCCUCGUAAAUAUUAACAGCUAGAUAACAAGUAUUAAUAAUAUUAUCUCUUUAUUACUAUUAGAUAAGCAGUUUUUUAAAGUUUUUAUUUUUCUACUUAUGAACAUCAAUCAUAAACAAAUAAUGGUAUUAUCACUUAAUUGAUUUCUAUGCAACAUUUCGGGCAAGAUGAAGUUACUUAAUUUUCAAAUAAAAUGGUUCAGACACAUAAAGGAAAAAAAUGAGAAACAGAAUUGAUUCAAAGAAUCAAUGCAAAAACCUGUUGAUGCAGUUAUAUAGAAAUAAAUAGGAUAUCGUAAAGCAGCUAGAUUUUAGUGCUCCAGAUCUACAUUCAAGGAGAAAGUAGAUCUUUAUCGAGAAAAUCAUCAACAAGUAUUCGAGACUAGCUCAGAAACCUUCAGAACUGUUAUUUUCAAUUGAUACCUCAUAUGUGUGUGAUAUAUGCGAAUUAUUACUAUUUUCAAAAUUACUUUUCUGUGCUUUCUUCAUUAAGUUUUAUAAAUCAAUUUUAAUAUAUUUUUAAAAAUAGAUAUUAACGCUAUACACAGUAUUUCUACAAACAGGAAAUCGCUAAACAUAAAAUUAUUCAUCAAUUUUUUUUCGCAUUCCCACCUUGCCCUACUUUCACCUACUAAAUAAUAUAAAAAAUUUUACUGGCGUAUUAUUUAGCAAAUCGUGCGGAUAUUACAUAAUAAAUGUUCUACAUUAAAUCCGCAUUUCAAUAUCAUGCAAUAAAUUUUAUAAUAAAUGUAUAGGAGCUAAAAAAACAUCUCACUAUUCCAAAAAGUGUAUUAAUAGUAUGAUAAGUUUAAUUUGUCCAAGCAAUUAAUUCACGAUCAGCGAGUGAAAUAAAAAUAAUACUUCUUACGAAUGAAAUCACGAAAGAGUUCAGGAUGUUGAUAAAAUGAAUAGAAAAAAAUAAAAGUGCGGAAUUUUACGAGUUACGUUUUCCUUAUCACAGCUGUACUGACUAAAAAUAUCGGAUACAGGAUCCUUUUUGGUUUCUUUAAUUAUUUAUAACAAGAAUAUUAAUAACCUCUCCUGAUCGACGAACAAUUGAUAGGUCAGAUAACAUUUUAGGUACGAUCAAACACGUUUGUAUUAUCGGUCAAGAGCAGCGACCGUUAACAAUACGCUGUCACGUUCUAUGAAGGCAUAAAAAAAAACGAUAGUUGCGAUUAUAGAACGAGUUACGCGAUCCGAAGGUCACACGCGUGUGUCUACGACAUUAGGUAAUCAGCUGACACAUCUGUAAAUUGGACUAGAAACCUUCGAAUUUGCCAAAAAUUACAUGGAACAUAUGUCAGACUUUGUAUUAUACAGUUCAUUGGGUAUUAACCAACACGAACGACAAAUUGAAUUUGAUUGAAUAUU